rnacentral:rRNA from 1 species
CACGUAGGAGGCGAGCGUUGUCCGGAAUCAUUGGGCGUAAAGAGCGCGCAGGCGGCUUGGCAAGUCGGGUGUGAAAUCCCGGGGCUCAACCCCGUGACUGCAUCCGAUACUGUCAGGCUAGAGGUAGGUAGGGGAGAUCGGAAUUCCUGGUGUAGCGGUGAAAUGCGCAGAUAUCAGGAGGAACACCGGUGGCGAAGGCGGAUCUCUGGGCCUUACCUGACGCUCAGGCGCGAAAGCUAGG